UGCCAGCCGCCGCGGUAAUACGGAGGGUGCAAGCGUUGUUCGGAAUUAUUGGGCGUAAAGCGCGUGUAGGCGGUUCGUUAAGUCUGAUGUGAAAGCCCGGGGCUCAACCCCGGAAGUGCAUUGGAAACUGGCGAACUUGAGUACGGGAGAGGAAAGUGGAAUUCCGAGUGUAGGGGUGAAAUUCGUAGAUAUUGGAUGGAACACCUAUGGCGAAGGCAGCUAGCUGGACCGGUACUGACGCUGAGGCGCGAAAGCGUGGGGAGCAAACAGGAUUAGAUA
rnacentral:rRNA from 1 species